AGUGAACGCUGGCGGUAGGCCUAACACAUGCAAGUCGAACGGCAGCACAGUAAGAGCUUGCUCUUACGGGUGGCGAGUGGCGGACGUGUGAGGAAUACAUCGGAAUCUACUUUUUCGUGGGGGAUAACGUAGGGAAACUUACGCUAAUACCGCAUACGACCCACGGGUGAAAGCAGGGGAUCUUCGGACCUUGCGCGAUUGAAUGAGCCGCUGUCGGAUUAGCUAGUUGGCGGGGUAAAGGCCCACCAAGGCGACGAUCCGUAGCUGGUCUGAGAGGAUGGUCAGCCACACUGGAACUGGGACACGGUCCAGACUCCUACGGGAGGCAGCAGUGGGGAAUAUUGGACAAUAGGCGCAAGCCUGAUCCAGCCAUACCGCGUGGGUGAAGAAGGCCUUCGGGUUGUAAAGCCCUUUUGUUGGGAAAGAAAAGCAGCAGGUUAAUACCCCGCUGUUCUGACGGUACCCAAAGAAUAAGCACCGGCUAACUUCGUG
rnacentral:rRNA from 1 species